UCCGCUAGUUUCCGGUGGGAAAUCAGCGACGAAUUAGUCAUCGUUCAAUGAUGAUGCGAUCAUUCAGCUGCGGCUACAAAAUCUAAAUAACCUUGAAACAUAAUACAACUUUGCAUACAUAUAAGGUUCGUGUUUCGCAACUAUGUACAAUACGCACGCCAAUUCGACGAGGAAAAAACAGCAAAGCUUUAUCGGAACAUAAAGAAGACGCUUCAAGAGGUGCAACAAAUCGCCAGCGAGGUAAAUUGUAAUUAUAAAGAACUCGAAGAGAACAUGAACCGUGCAGCGCGACUCAUCACAGCAAUCCAAAUCUGUAAAAGGCGAGAGGCUGAAGCGACGGCAUUGACCGAAACAAAUGACUAAAACUGUAAUAAAAGGAAUUUAUUCAAUUAAUAAAUAACCAAAUUCCUAUUUUUGAUGGCCGUGGUUUCUUUUUUUUUUUUUUUGUUCUUAUUUGAUUUUCGCGGGUCAAAUCGUAAUAUCUCGCUUCAAAACGCAAGCGAUGACUAAUAAAAAGAAAAAGAAAAAAAAUCCCUAGAUUCUGUCUGCUACAUCCUGCUGUCAAACCUGUCAUCGUAAUUACACACCACAUUAUACGCAGAAGUGUACGAUUUAUCGGAAAUUAGACUGAAUAAUACCCGAAUACCAAUGAAAAAUCAAAACUGGAGGUGUGGUUUGUGAUUAUCUGUUGAUCUAUCUACUUUGGAAUGCCGAAAUUCAAUCGUAGAGGCAAUAUUUGCCAGUGGCCAAUCAAUUGAAGUGAGUAACCAUAUAGCUAUGCUCUGAUAAGAUGCCAGCAGAGACGGAGAUGACGGCACUUUCCUCUGAUCAAGAUGAUGGGAAAAGUUCCGCUAUGCUAGAUAUGCCUGAGGCUAUGAACAACAAGAAUUUUCCACGUGAGGAGCGAAGUAUUAACGAAAACACAGAGAAUUUUGAAAGCAGAUUUUCGAUUGUUGACAACCACAAUGCAACCACCAGCAACGUCAUUGAUGACGUUGAUAGUGGGGGAAAAAAACCGUCCGAUAAUUCAAUUAGCAUCGCUAAAAGUAAAAAACAAAUUACGAGAU
rnacentral:misc_RNA from 1 species